UGCACCGAUAAUUGAAGUCGCAUUUUGAACCCACAGAUGGAUGUAUUCUGAUUGUAUGAAUAUCAUGGAGAGGUGUUUGUUUGCUUACUCUGGUGUUUAACAUAGAUUUGCGUUACAGGGAGGAUGUCAGACAAACACCUGUCAGCACUAAGAAACAAACCACAGGGCAAUGUGAAAACACGGGUUCUGGCGGAAGGCACGCCAGACCGAAGAUAAGAUCAGAGGCUCAGCUUACCACUACCACCCUGCGCUGACUCGGGAGGGGCGCAGAUGAACACUCACUGUGCUCCGACGCGUGUGCCGUCAGCCGCCCGCUUCUUUACACUCUGGAGACUCACCGUGCAGCCGCCUCAGACCUACAGCGUCGGAGGACAACGCAGCUUACAGGCAAGCACGCAGGCGCCCGCACAGACUACAGGGGUCGCUGGUGCCUGGUGAGCCGAGGAGACUCUGGCUGACCUAGCCCUCCCCCCCCCCGGACGACGCUCGGCCAAUUGAGCGCCGCCCCCUGAGAGCUCCCGUCCACCGUCGGCUGUGGAAUAGCCUGGACUCGUACCGGCGACGUCCAGGCUAUAGAGCGCAUCCUGCACUCUAGCGAGUGCUUUUACUGGAUGCGCCACUCGGGAGCCAUGUCAGUGUCAUUUGUGACUUACAAAAUUAAGUUACAUUUUAUAAUUUCUCUGUUAUCUGGUUAUAUAUCAACCACACGUGAUUACCCAACAAAAAAGCCAGUCACGCAUACGCAUUAUCAUACUUGAAAUGUAAAAUUGUUGUACAAUCGAAAACACGAUAAUGUUGCUUUAGAAAGGUAGGCAUAUCUGACCUGAUGUACUCGGCUGUGAAAUUAGAGUUGAAACAAGUAAGAUAUUUGAUAUUACAUUUGUUAGCCAGUUUCCCGGUGGCGCAAAAAGUUAGUAAGUCGUGUAAUUAGACAUGCUAGUCAAGCUCAGGAUCGAAUCCGUGCUCCUGUGAGAAAGUGUGCGUGUAGAGAAUUUGUUUUAGAUUUUAAAAAAUAAUAAUAAUUACAUUUUACAAAAUGCAAAACUUGUAUUUGUUGAUAUUUUUAAAUAAACUAAUUGGAAAAAGAGAAAGAAAUAAUAAAUGCUUCCUUCCAGGAGUAAUCUAGGCUAUAUUUCAAUGAAGCAUUGUAUGGAUUCUGGUUCAGUCAGAUCACGUGAUGUGUUGCUUCAUGCGGAACACUGUUUGCUUCAGAUGGUUCAAAACGGGUUACGUCAUUUGUUUGCUUCACAUGAAGCAGUGGUCAUUUGAAUCUCCUGAAGUAGUGAAUCACUUAAUCAUGUGACUGAUCCGAGGCAUCAAUGAGCUCCUGUGAGCGAUUUGAAGCCUCAUGAGGCAGUGAACCCAAUGUAUGAUUUGACGCCUCAAUGAAGCAAUGAACCUCGUGAAUGAUUUGACGCCGCAAUGAACCUCGUGAAUGAUUUGAAGCUCCGCACUAACGUAGUUGAAUCAGUUGAAGUUGAAUCCAAAACUCAUAGGCAUUCUAGUAUUAGGAAUAUCAUUAAUGGGUCAUUAGUUCAGUGUCUCAUCGGUGUCUCUAUGAUGGCUAGAUUAUUACAGAUUACACUAUGUAACACAAUUUUUGUUCCUGGGUAGUAAGUGUUAUUUCCUAAUUGCUUAUGCCUCAAAAGUAUAGAAAAUGGCUAUUAUGCUCCACAAACUUUGCUUUUGUGACCAGGACAGUGAUAUUUUGAAAUUUACCUAUUUCCAAUGAGAAAACGGGCAAAUUUGUGUCUUUUCGUUCACAUAAAGUCAGAAAAAAAACAACAUAUGAAUCCAAAUUAACAUGUAUUUAUACUAAAGUAAUACAAAAAUGAGUACAAAAGAUUUAGAAGUGAGUAGUUUUUCGAGAUUUACGAUUAUACUGUAAAUCACUUUCACGAAUCAGCCCCCAAAUAUAGUCUCCCAUAAUGUCUCCCAUAAUUGGAAACAUAAAAUAAUAAAAAUGUUUAUUUUAUUAAAUUUCAGUAAAACAUACUUGAAUGCAAAGAUUUCUACAUAAACAUCCAUAUAUAUUUUUAUUUAAAAAAAAAAAAAAAGCCUAUUACAUAUAUGACUUAGUGGACACAAACCGGACCUCUGGAUUGAGGUUGAUUACUUCAUCUCACUAAACUCACCUCUUCAGACAGCACCUGUAAAACUCCUCUGUUUUUCACCUGGGACACUAUCACCCUUCCUUAAAUGCACUCUUAUCUGCCCCCUAUUUUACUGCAUUUAAUCCUGUACUUCAGAAUACUGUAAUCUGCCAAGUGUUUAAUCUGUAGUAUUUUGUAUUUAAUCAUAUCUUGAUGUAACUAUCACUGUCACUGUUAUCUGCUGUAUUAUUGAAUUGUAUUUUGUCACACUUGUACUUGCUUGAACCAAAGUCAUUGUAUUUAUCUUGCUCUUAUUGUAUUACUUGUACUGUAACACUUGAAAUGUAUUUGCUUACGAUUGUAAGUCGCCCUGGAUA